UACGUAGGGGGCAAGCGUUGUCCGGAAUCAUUGGGCGUAAAGAGCGUGUAGGCGGCUCGGUAAGUCCGCUGUGAAAGUCCAGGGCUCAACCCUGGAAUGCCGGUGGAAACUGUCGAGCUAGAGUCCGGAAGAGGCGAGUGGAAUUCCUGGUGUAGCGGUGAAAUGCGCAGAUAUCAGGAGGAACACCAACGGCGAAGGCAGCACUCUGGGCCGGUACUGACGCUGAGGAGCGAAAGCGUGGGGAGCGAACAGG
rnacentral:rRNA from 1 species